CCGCACAGCCGGGGAGUUAGCGGUGCCCUGUACCUGCAAUCCGCUAUAGCAGGGGUGAUAUUCUGCCCAGGGUGCUUGUUUGCAGAGCUGCCCCUUGUAAGUGGCGUUGAAGUUUGGGUCUUGCGCAAUGGGAAUCCAUGAACCGUGUCAGGGCAGGAAUGCAGCAGCACUAAGUGGAAGCUCUCGUGUGCCGCGAGGGAGCCUGGGCCGAGUUAACUGCAAGGGUAACGUCUGUGAAGAGCAUUCAAAGCAGAAUGUGCGG
rfam:Clostridium sp. CAG:299 genomic scaffold, scf132